GAAGAUUGGGAGUCGGUCUGUCUGUCUAACUCUAGGUUUAAAUUGAAAAAUCAAAUUGUAUUGUUUCAGUUUAAUCGGCGCUGUUUGAUUUGGUUCAAUCGUUUCAGAGCUAGGAGACCGUUCUUCAUUCUUCGAUCUGGGUUCAUGGGUAUGCGAGUCACUCUUCUUGCUUUUGAAAUUUUGCUUCUGCAACUGGGUUCAUGUGUUUUGAAAUUUUACUUCUGCUUCUGCAGUUCAACAUAGUCUAUGUUCUUUGCCUACUGUUGUUGUUUGCUUGGGAUAAAUAUGAGAUUUUGAUUAUUGGGUUCAUAUUUUUGGGUUGGGUUAUUGGUUAUUUUUAUUGAUUAUUGAAUCGUGAGAUGGAUUUGCGUUUUUGAUUGCUGAAACCUGUUAUCGUUGAAAUGGGUGUGUUGUUGAUUGCUGAAAUCAGAACCGAUGGACUGAAUUGAAUUGAUUUAUUUUGAUUCGAUAUGGUUUGGUUAUUUAUAAAAUUUAAUUCGGUUUUUUCGGUUUCGGUCGAAAUCGAACCGCACAAUCAGCCACCAACCAUUUCCCCUUCCUAUAAAUGCAAGCUGAAGAACAUUCCUCCUCUUUUAUGGUCCUGACAAAUAUAUAGAUCCCAAUAUUUUCUUUCAUCACAUAAAUCUAGAUUCUAUUUCAUAGCGCUACUGCUUAUGAUGGCAGCUGGUGCGGAUGUUGCGUUAGCACUUGCUAUUGCAGGUUUGACUGAAGCAAUUAAAGUUGCAAUAAGAAAGGGAAUUUGGUCCAGGAGAACCCUUAAAAAAUCUCCAGGCAACGGUUGAGAAUGUGGGUCCGAUCAUGCGUGAAGCCCUGCGGCGUGAAAAUCCUCCUACUGAUUUUUGCAAGAGGCUAGUCCGGGUGUUCCAGAAUGCUAAGGAGCUUGUUGAUAAGUACCCGACCAUCAAGAAGUGGAACCUGCUCGAGAAGUGGAAGCUCCUGAAGCUGAUCCAGGAAGUGGAUGAUACUAUUAAAAGGCUUAUGAAGCAUGAUUUACAGGCUGAACAAUAUCGCUGCCUUGUAGAACUUAACAAGAAAAUGGAUCUCGUAAUCGCCUCGUUUGGGUCAAAAAGUGCUGCAACUAAUGGAAAAGAAUUCAAUAAUGACAGUACAGCCUAUGUGAGUUCAUCAAAGCCUGCGGCUGAGACUGACACUGAGACUCGAGGUAGGACAUCCAGUCCUGCAUUUGCAUUGCGCUGCAAAAUGAAAAAAGCAGUUGUGGAUAUUCGCAUUUGGAAAUCUGGUAAGUAGUCUUUUUUCAAGUCUACAGGUUCAAUGGGUUUAUGCCCUGAUAUUUUUCUUUGUAGUUGGAGGGUCGCUUUUCCUGCCAACAGAAGUGUAUGCUGUUAGGAAUAUUUGUGGGGAAUGGAAAUGUAAAAUGAAAUUGUAGGAAAUCAGCUU
rnacentral:misc_RNA from 1 species